rnacentral:rRNA from 1 species
AUAAAACAUUAAAUUUAAAAGAUUUGGCGGUAUUUUAAAUUAUUAGAGGAACCUGUUAAUUAAUUGAUAAUCCACGAUAAGAGUUACUUAAAAAUUUAUGUAUUGCUGUUUAAAGAUUAUUAUUAAUUAAAUAUUUAAAUUUUUAUAAUAAAUAAAUUCAAGUCAAAAUAUAGUUUAAUUAAGUAAUGGGUUACAAUUUAAUUUUGAAAAUGGAUUUAAUAGUAA